rnacentral:misc_RNA from 1 species
GAUGAAGAACGCAGCGAAAUGCGAUAAGUAGUGUGAAUUGCAGAAUUCAGUGAAUCAUCGAAUCUUUGAACUCACAUUGCGCCCCUUGGUAUUCCAUGGGGCAUGCCUGUUCGAGCGUCAUUUGUACCUUCAAGCUUUGCUUGGUGUUGGGUGUUUGUCUCGCCUUUGCGUGUAGACUCGCCUUAAAAUAAUUGGCAGCCGGCGUAUUGAUUUCGGAGCGCAGUACAUCUCGCGCUUUGCACUCAUAACGACAGCGUCCAAAAGUACAUUUUACACUCUUGACCUCGGAUCAGGUAGGGAUACCCGCUGAACUUAAGCAUAUCAAUAAGCGGAGGA